GAUGAACGCUGGCGGCGUGCCUAAUACAUGCAAGUCGAGCGAACAGACGAGGAGCUUGCUCCUCUGACGUUAGCGGCGGACGGGUGAGUAACACGUGGAUAACCUACCUAUAAGACUGGGAUAACUUCGGGAAACCGGAGCUAAUACCGGAUAAUAUAUUGAACCGCAUGGUUCAAUAGUGAAAGACGGUUUUGCUGUCACUUAUAGAUGGAUCCGCGCCGCAUUAGCUAGUUGGUAAGGUAACGGCUUACCAAGGCAACGAUGCGUAGCCGACCUGAGAGGGUGACCGACCACACGGGAACUGAGACAGGGCCCAAACUCCAACGGGGGGAGCAGGAGGGAAUUCUCCCGAAAGGGGCAAAGGCCGGAGGGAACACCGCCGCGUGAGGAAUGAGGGUCUUGGGAUCGAAAACUUUUUUUAUUGGGAAAGAAAAAAUGGGUAAGAAACUAUGCCCGCCUUGAGGGACCUUAAUCAGAAGCCCAGGCCUAACUCCGUG
rnacentral:rRNA from 1 species